AAAGAAGAUAAAAUGUCUGCCCCGCACCUACUUUGAAGAACUCGCAAGAACAACUUUCAAAGUAGGUGCGGGGAGGAAAGUCCGAACACCAAAGGGCAGGAUACUUCCUAACUGGGAGUCCCGGCAACGGGAAGCCAGCUCCACAGAAACAAACUACUCUGAAAUUUUUCGGGGAAAAGGUGAAAUGGCGGUGUAAGAGACCACCAGUUUCCGGUGUGAACCGGAAAGCUCGGAAAGCCUUAUCCGGUGCAAUGCCAAAUAGGGAAGCUAUGAAUCGGCCCGAUUCGCUUCCGGGUAGGCAGCUGAAGCCGGUCAGAAUUGAGUUCAUUUGAACAUAGCAAUAUCCGGUUUAGAGAAAUAGACAUUGGAUCGUUUGUUAGGCGAUUCACAGAAUUCGGCUUAUAAUCUUCUUUGACA
rnacentral:RNase_P_RNA from 1 species